rnacentral:tmRNA from 1 species
GGGGGCGACCCGGUUUCGACGGGGGUAAAGAAGCCUCAGACGCGUGCCGAGCAUGUCGAGCUGCUCGUCAAAACGCCCGGCAAAAAAACAAAAGCCAACGACAACGUUGAGCUCGCGCUCGCCGCCUAAAACGGUCUGAGCACGCGGUCGCCAGCACCCCGGCGGGUGGGUGCUGGGUCGGCCGUCAGAAAGCCCGCUGGUCCCUGCGUAGGCCUCGGUGCGCAGGGGCGAGAUCCUUCGAGGCUCAGCCGGAUGAAGCCCGUCCGUGGGCGUCGCCGGUGCCAGUCAAAACGCGGACUACGCACGUAGGGUCGAAAGGCGGAAGACUUCCGGACGAGGGUUCGAUUCCCUCCGCCUCCACAG